CAGCAGCCACGGGAAUACGAAGGGUGCAAGCGUUAAUCGGAAUUACUGGGCGUAAAGCGUGCGUAGGCGGUUUGUUAAGUCUGUUGUGAAAUCCCCGGGCUCAACCUGGGAAUGGCAAUGGAUACUGGCAAGCUAGAGUGUGUCAGAGGAUGGUGGAAUUCCCGGUGUAGCGGUGAAAUGCGUAGAGAUCGGGAGGAACAUCAGUGGCGAAGGCGGCCAUCUGGGACAACACUGACGCUGAGGCACGAAAGCGUGGGGAGCAAACAGGAUUAGAUACCCGGGUAGUCCCUGUCUCUUAUAA
rnacentral:rRNA from 1 species